ACAUCUCUUCGGAGCAUUUUACGAGGUGCUGCAUGGUUGUCGUCAGCUCGUGCCGUGAGGUGUCGGGUUAAGUCCCAUAACGAGCGCAACCCCUAUCAUUAGUUGCCAUCAGGUCAAGCUGGGGACUCUAAUGAAACUGCCUACGCAAGUAGUGAGGAAGGUGGGGAUGACGUCAAGUCAUCAUGGCCCUUACGGCCUGGGCUACACACGUGCUACAAUGGUCGGUACAAAGGGUUGCCAAGCCGCGAGGUGGAGCUAAUCCCAUAAAACCGAUCGUAGUCCGGAUCGCAGUCUGCAACUCGACUGCGUGAAGUCGGAAUCGCUAGUAAUCGUGAAUCAGAAUGUCACGGUGAAUACGUUCCCGGGCCUU
rnacentral:rRNA from 1 species